CGGUUUAGCUCAGUUGGUAGAGCAACGCACUCGUAACGCGUAGGUCGUCAGUUCGAAUCCGACAACCGG
rnacentral:tRNA from 1 species